UGCAAGUCGAACGCAGUCUUCGGACUGAGUGGCGGACGGGUGAGUAACGCGUGAGAAUCUGCCUUCAGGAUGGGGAUAACAGUGGGAAACCACUGCUAAUACCCAAUAUGCCGAAAGGUGAAAAUUAUUUUGCCUGAAGAGGAGCUCGCGUCUGAUUAGCUAGUUGGUGGGGUAAAAGCUUACCAAGGCAACGAUCAGUAGCUGGUCUGAGAGGAUGAGCAGCCACACUGGGACUGAGACACGCCCAGACUCCUACGGGAGGCAGCAGUGGGGAAUUUUCCGCAAUGGGCGAAAGCCUGACGGAGCAAUACCGCGUGAGGGAGGAAGGCCUUUGGGUUGUAAACCUCUUUUCUCAGGGAAGAAGAUCUGACGGUACCUGAGGAAUAAGCAUCGGCUAACUCCGUGCCAGCAGCCGCGGUAAUACGGAGGAUGCAAGCGUUAUCCGGAAUUAUUGGGCGUAAAGCGUCCGCAGGUGGUUUUUCAAGUCUGCUGUCAAAGACCGAAGCUCAACUUCGGAAAGGCAGUGGAAACUGGAAAACUAGAGUUCGGUAGGGGUAGCGGGAAUUCCCAGUGUAGCGGUGAAAUGCGUAGAUAUUGGGAAGAACAUCGGUGGCGAAGGCGCGCUACUGGACCGAAACUGACACUCAGGGACGAAAGCUAGGGGAGCGAAAGGGAUUAGAUACCCCUGUAGUCCUAGCUGUAAACGAUGGAAACUAGGUGUGGCUUGUAUCGACCCGAGCCGUGCCGUAGCUAACGCGUUAAGUUUCCCGCCUGGGGAGUACGCACGCAAGUGUGAAACUCAAAGGAAUUGACGGGGGCCCGCACAAGCGGUGGAGUAUGUGGUUUAAUUCGAUGCAACGCGAAGAACCUUACCAGGGCUUGACAUGUCCGGAACUUUCCUGAAAGGGAAAGGUGCCUUCGGGAACCGGAACACAGGUGGUGCAUGGCUGUCGUCAGCUCGUGUCGUGAGAUGUUGGGUUAAGUCCCGCAACGAGCGCAACCCUCGUCUUUAGUUGCCAGCAUUAAGGUGGGCACUCUAGAGAGACUGCCGGUGACAAACCGGAGGAAGGUGGGGAUGACGUCAAGUCAGCAUGCCCCUUACGCCCUGGGCUACACACGUACUACAAUGGUUGGGACAAAGGGCAGCGAACCCGCGAGGGAAAGCGAAUCUCAUCAAACCCAGCCUCAGUUCAGAUUGCUCUCUGCAACUCGAGAGCAUGAAGGAGGAAUCGCUAGUAAUCGCAGGUCAGCAUACUGCGGUGAAUUCGUUCCCGGGCCUUGUACACACCGCCCGUCACACCAUGGAAGCUGGUCACGCCCGAAGUAGUUACCCUAACUU
rnacentral:rRNA from 1 species